rnacentral:lncRNA from 1 species
GCUGAAUUCCCUCCUUUGGUCCUUAAAGACCUUCUGUUUUCCGUGAUUGGCCCGGGCCGGGGCAGGCCUAGACUUAAAGGGACUGCGCCCUCCAGGGGCAGGCGGGAGGGAAGUGACCUGUGGAGUUUGUAGCGGAGUUGGACCACUAAAAAAUUCCAGGGUUCUUUUGGCGCUGGAAGGAAUUUAGAAGGCCCCUGGCCUGGUCCUGGUCAUCUGCUAUUUUCAGAAGCCCAGAGAGAUUGCGCCACUUGUUCGACUCCACACAGCGCUCCUCCUGCUCUUCCAGAGUUGAAGAAAGCUUCACAUUUACUCCAGCUACACGGCCACCCGUUCUCUUCUGGAAGCCUGCUCCUGCCCCUACGUCUUGGAGCCCACAACUGACCCCUGAUCUCUGCGCAUCUGGCUGCUCAUCCUUCCAGCCUCAGCCCGAAGAGGCCUCCCCUGACCUCUCCCUCUGAAGGGCUCCUCUCUCUGUUUCGGCCCUCUCACAUUUCAGGCCCUGCAGUUGCCUCAUCUAUGGAUGUGUUACCGGUUUGACUCUCUUCCCCACUAGAUUGUAAGCCCCAUGGGCCAGGGACCUCAUCCUCUGCUAUAUUGGCACCUGGUUGGUGCCGAAUAAAUGGAUAUGGAAUCAAUGAAUAGAUGUCCA